rnacentral:rRNA from 1 species
GGGAGGUAGAAUUCACAGUGUAGCGGUGGAAUGCGUAGAUAUUGUGAAGAAUACCAAUGGCGAAGGCAGCCUCCUGGAUCUGUACUGACACUGAGGUGCGAAAGCGUGGGUAGCGAACAGGAUUAGAUACCCUGGUAGUCCACGCCGUAAACGAUGUCAACUAGCUGUUGGGGAACUAUGUUCUUCAGUGGCGCAGCUAACGU